UACGGAGGGUGCAAGCGUUAAUCGGAAUUACUGGGCGUAAAGCGUGCGCAGGCGGUUUGUUAAGUCUGUUGUGUAAUCCCCGAGCUCAACUUGGGAAUUGCAAUGGAUACUGGCAGGCUGGAGUAUGGUAGAGGAAGGUGGAAUUCCCGGUGUAGCAGUGAAAUGCGUAGAGAUCGGGAGGAACACCAGUGGCGAAGGCGGCCUUCUGGACCAAUACUGACGCUCAUGCACGAAAGCGUGGGGAGCAAACAGG
rnacentral:rRNA from 1 species